GCCUUCGUGGUGUAGUGGUCAGCACGCUCGACGCGUAACCGAGAGGACCGUGGUUCGAUUCCCUGCGAAGGCG
rnacentral:tRNA from 1 species